UCGUUUCUCUGAGUUGUGGCGGAUUUGUGUAGUGGCCGAAUUUCUUCUGGAUUUUCCUGUUGUUUUCACAAUGGCUGGGACAAUAUGCCAGAGGCUCAUAAACAAAGUAUGGCGUAGUUACGCAUGUGACUUGGACAAAGUGGAAAAUAAGGAGGGGAUAUAUGUCAUCGGCAAGGAGUGCCGAGGUGAUGUCAUUUAUUGGUACAUCGGACACUCUAAGAAUGUCAAGAGGAGGCUUCGUGAACAUAAAAGGCAAUCAUUGUAUAUUGAUGAGUUGAUCAAAGCUGAGUUUGAAGAAAACGGUGGUGCAAACCUUAGAAUAAAAUGGGUUUUCGCGCCAAACAGCGGACGGAAAGAAGGCGAAUACCAGAGAUGUCUUGAAGGAAAACUUCGUUACCGACUAUGUGGCAACA